GAUCAUGGCUCGGGAUGAACGCUAGCUACAGGCUUAACACAUGCAAGUCGAGGGGCAGCAUGGUCUUAGCUUGCUAAGGCCGAUGGCGACCGGCGCACGGGUGAGUAACACGUAUCCAACCUGCCGUCUACUCUGGGGCAGCCUUCUGAAAGGAAGAUUAAUACAAGAUGGCAUCAUGAGUCCGCAUGUUCACAUGAUUAAAGGUAUUCCGGUAGACGAUGGGGA
rnacentral:rRNA from 1 species